rnacentral:rRNA from 1 species
UACGUAGGGUGCGAGCGUUAAUCGGAAUUACUGGGCGUAAAGCGUGCGCAGGCGGCGCGUUAAGACAGGUGUGAAAGCCCCCGAGCUUAACUUGGGAAUUGCGCUUGUGACUGGCGUGCUGGAGUGUGGCAGAGGGAGGUGGAAUUCCACGUGUAGCAGUGAAAAUGCGUAGAGAUGUGGAGGAACACCGAUGGCGAAGGCAGCCUCCUGGGCCAGCACUGACGCUCAUGCACGAAAAGCGUGGGGGAGCAAACAGG